rnacentral:rRNA from 1 species
CACGGGGGGGCGUCCUAUACAUGCAAGUCGAGCGCAGGAAGCAGGCAGAUCCCCUUCGGGGGUGAUGCCUGUGGAAUGAGCGGCGGACGGGUGAGUAACACGUGGGCAACCUGCCUGUAAGAUCGGAAUAACUCCGGGAAACCGGGGCUAAUGCCGGGUAAUCCUUUUUCUCGCAUGAGAGAAAGGUAAAAGAUGGCCUUUGGCUAUCACUUACAGAUGGGCCCGCGGCGCAUUAGCUAGUUGGUGAGGUAACAGCUCACCAAGGCGACGAUGCGUAGCCGACCUGAGAGGGUGAUCGGCCACACUGGGACUGAGACACGGCCCAGACUCCUACGGGAGGCAGCAGUAGGGAAUCUUCCGCAAUGGACGAAAGUCUGACGGAGCAACGCCGCGUGAACGAUGAAGGUCUUCGGAUCGUAAAGUUCUGUUGUUAGGGAAGAACAAGUACCGUGCGAAUAGAGCGGUACCUUGACGGUACCUAACGAGGAAGCCCCGGCUAACUACGUGCCAGCAGCCGCGGUAAUACGUAGGGGGCAAGCGUUGUCCGGAAUUAUUGGGCGUAAAGCGCGCGCAGGCGGUUUCUUAAGUCUGAUGUGAAAGCCCACGGCUCAACCGUGGAGGGUCAUUGGAAACUGGGGAACUUGAGGACAGAAGAGGAGAGUGGAAUUCCACGUGUAGCGGUGAAAUGCGUAGAUAUGUGGAGGAACACCAGUGGCGAAGGCGACUCUCUGGUCUGUUUCUGACGCUGAGGUGCGAAAGCGUGGGUAGCAAACAGGAUUAGAUACCCUGGUAGUCCACGC